rnacentral:sRNA from 1 species
AAAACCAAUAAAAACAACAAUACAA